GAAGGAAAUGAGGAAUAAUAGAUUCCCUAUUGGUUUGAUUGCUGGAAUGAUGGCAACAAUCAUGUAUUAGCUCUAUCUGAUCCUUU
rfam:Daucus carota subsp. sativus cultivar DH1 chromosome 3, whole genome shotgun sequence.